GGGCCGUUAGCUCAGCGGUAGAGCAGCGGACUUUUAAUCCGUUGGUCGAAGGUUCGAUCCCUUCACGGCCCACCA
rnacentral:tRNA from 1 species